AAUGUUUGUGAUGAUGCAAUCUCCCCGCGGAAAGACGGAAAGACCCCAUGAACCUUUACUGUAGCUUUGUAUUGGACUUUGAACGGAUCUGUGUAGGAUAGGUGGGAGGCUUUGAAGUGUGGUCGCUAGAUCGCAUGGAGCCAACGAUGAAAUACCACCCUGGUGUGUUUGAGGUUCUAACCUAGGCCCGUAAUCCGGGUUGGGGACAGUGCAUGGUAGGCAGUUUGACUGGGGCGGUCUCCUCCCAAAGUGUAACGGAGGAGCACGAAGGUACCCUCAGCGCGGUCGGAAAUCGCGCAUUGCGUGUAAAGGCAUAAGGGUGCUUGACUGCGAGACUGACAAGUCGAGCAGGUGGGAAACCAGGUCUUAGUGAUCCGGUGGUUCUUAGUGGUAGGGCCAUCGCUCAACGGAUAAAAGGUACUCCGGGGAUAACAGGCUGAUACCUCCCAAGAGUUCAUAUCGACGGGGGUGUUUGGCACCUCGAUGUCGGCUCAUCACAUCCUGGGGCUGAAGCCGGUCCCAAGGGUAUGGCUGUUCGCCAUUUAAAGUGGUACGCGAGCUGGGUUUAGAACGUCGUGAGACAGUUCGGUCCCUAUCUGCCGUGGGCGUUUGAGACUUGAGGGAUGCUGCUCCUAGUACGAGAGGACCGGAGUGGACGUACCUCUGGUGUUCCGGUUGUCACGCCAGUGGCACUGCCGGGUAGCUAUGUACGGAAGGGAUAACCGCUGAAAGCAUCUAAGCGGGAAGCUCUCCCCAAGAUGAGGUCUCACGGAUCCUCGAGAUCCCUAAAGGGCCGUUCAAGACUAGAACGUUGAUAGGCUGGAUGUGGAAGCGCGGUAACGCGUGUAGCUAACCAGUACUAAUUGCCCGUGAGGCUUGACCAU
rnacentral:rRNA from 1 species